rnacentral:rRNA from 1 species
ACUCCUACGGGAGGCAGCAGUGAGGAAUAUUGGUCAAUGGGCGCAAGCCUGAACCAGCCAAGUCGCGUGAGGGAAGACGGUCCUACGGAUUGUAAACCUCUUUUGUCGGGGAGUAACGUGCGGGACGGGUCCCGUAUUGAGAGUACCCGAAGAAAAAGCAUCGGCUAACUCCGUGCCAGCAGCCGCGGUAA